CAGCAGCCGCGGUAACACGGAGGGUGCAAGCGUUAUCCGGAUUUAUUGGGUUUAAAGGGUCCGUAGGCGGACUUAUAAGUCAGUGGUGAAAGCCUGUCGCUUAACGAUAGAACUGCCAUUGAUACUGUAAGUCUUGAGUAUAUUUGAGGUAGCUGGAAUAAGUAGUGUAGCGGUGAAAUGCAUAGAUAUUACUUAGAACACCAAUUGCGAAGGCAGGUUACCAAGAUAUAACUGACGCUGAGGGACGAAAGCGUGGGUAGCGAACAGGAUUAGAUACCCGCGUAGUCCCUGUCUCUUAUAC
rnacentral:rRNA from 1 species